UGAACCCUCUGGAACUGGGAUGAGCCCCUCUGGAACUGGGAUGAGCCCCUCUGGAACUGGGAUGAGCCCCUCUGGAACUGGGAUGAGCUCCCACAGAUUGGGAUGAGCCCCUGGAACUGGGAUGGGCCCCCCUGGAACUGGGAUGAGCUCUCUGGAACUGGGCUGAGCCCCCCCAGACUGGGCUGAGCCCCCUGCAGCUCCAGCUCGCUCUGGGCUGGGCUCUGGGAGUGUCCUGGGGGCUCCUUUUCCUGCCCCCCCCCAGAAUUUUCCUGCUUUUCUCCUGCUGCUGCUGAGUGCUGCCACCACCCUGGUGCUGCCACCACUGUCCCCUGACCCCAUUGUCCCCUGGCCAUUGUCCCCUGGCCCCUGUGCCACCCCGAGCCCCCUGCACCUCUCAUUCCCAGCAGAUUUUCGGGACCACUUUGGGAUGGUGUCACGGACCAAAACCUCAAAGCCACCUCCCUGUCCCCUCCUCCUGAGGGGUAAAACUGGAACUGGGCCGGGAGGGAGGAGCAGGAACCUCUGCAGGGUCCGGGGGCAGGGCUGGGGACAGCGGGGAUGUCCCCAAGGGGGGGUGGGACAAACGGGAAUAAGGGACCAAAGGCAGCACGUGAAACAUUCCCUGCUCCUGCUGGGGACACGGCCUUGGGGACACCUCCCUUCCUCGGGGCUGGGAUUGGGGACAGGGAAAAGGGAAUCCUGGCUGCAGUGGGGUGGGGACAGGGAUUUAGGGUGACACAGGAACACCCAGGAUGGGAAUUCCAGCUGCAGGGGACAAGGACAGGGAUUUACAGUAGUUUCACGAAUACAAGCCGCACGGAUUAUAAGCCGCACCCCCGGUGCCUCGACAAUGUUGCUGUCUUUGUCAAUAGAUAAGCCGCACCCCGAAUAUUAGCCGCACUUUCGUUCGUCGCGAGAAUCCGUGCGCAGCUUUCACAAAUUGGCCAAUUAGUAACAGGAUCGCGGCAUAGCGGGCUUUACUGGCUCGGGGCGGGGCCAGGCAGGCUCGGCCCGCUCAUGGUUGCCGACGGGGCCGGGUGGCCAGC
rnacentral:lncRNA from 1 species